rnacentral:rRNA from 1 species
UUGGAGGGCAAGUCUGGUGCCAGCAGCCGCGGUAAUUCCAGCUCCAAUAGCGUAUAUUAAAGUUGUUGCAGUUAAAAAGCUCGUAGUUGAAUUUCGGAGUUUGUCGGUUGGUCGGGCUUCACUGUCCGCACUGGCCUGAUGGAUUCCUACCUUCUGAAUAACCAGCAUGCUAUUAAUUUAGUGCGUUGGGGAAGCAGAGCUAUUACCUUGAAAAAAUUAGAGUGCUUAAAGCAGGCUUAUGCUUGAAUAGAUUAGCAUGGAAUAAUAAAAUAGGACGGCUUGGUUCUAUUUUGUUGGUUUCUAGGAUCACCGUAAUGAUUAAUAGGGAUAGUUGGGGGCAUUAGUAUUCAAUUGUCAGAGGUGAAAUUCUUGGAUUUAUUGAAGACUAACUUCUGCGAAAGCAUUUGCCAAGGAUGUUUUCAUUAAUCAAGAACGAAAGUUAGGGGAUCGAAGACGAUCAGAUACCGUCGUAGUCUUAACCAUAAACUAUGCCGACUGGGGAUCGGACGAUGUUAAUUUUUUAAUGACUCGUUCGGCGCCUUACGGGAAAC